UUUCCCUCUACCUUCUACCUCUCCCCCUCAAUCUUCUUCAGUGCACACCCAUCACCACAUUUAAUAUCAUCCUGAAGGGUCUGUAACUGAUUCAGCCUCUGCUGAGCUUCUCUGAAGCUCAAGAAUGUGUGGUUGUCCUGCACCAUGACCUAACAGAGAAACACGAGGAAAAGGUUUCAAUAAAACAAAGGCCCCUGAGGAAUGUGCUAUAAAUACCCCUGUCCUCAGUCCAGCCCCGAGCCUUGAACUGAAGGCACCCCAUGAAUUUCUUACCAGCAGCUUGAGGCUGUUCUGGGAGAGCUGUUUUGUCUUCCUCUCCAACAUUUUGCAGCAGUGCAGCUCUGAGGCUGAGGGAGAUUCUAUCUAUCACCAUGUGAAUUCCAUCAGUGUGCAUGCCAAAAGUUUGUUUCUGAGAGCCAAUGUUUCAAACUUCACCGGGGAUUUGAUUAUCAAGAUGUCCGUCCUUUCUCCUUUGCUCAUCCUCAUCAUUCACAGAGAUUAUAGAAAAGUAUUAAAUUGCUGUGUUGUUGUUGAUGCACGAGGCAGAGCACCACGACAUCCACCCUUGCUAUAGCUCCAUCAGUCUGCCAAAAAAACGAGUGAGAUGAAAACUAAUGCAUUUCAGUAAAAUCCAUCAGAGUCCACGUCACAAAGGACAAGACUGGCAAGAGGUGGAAGUUGAUGUAGUGCCACAGGCUGGGGCUUUGCCAAGUUUUGCAGCUGAAAACACAGUCCAAGGGAGGAAGCUUCAGAUAUUGGAUUAAAUAUUGCUUUAUCUUAUAGACUUUAGUGACACUUCAUUAAGUGUGAAGGCGCAGGGGCGAGGAUGUCAAAUCUGACGUGCUUCUUCAUUUGCUUAAAUCUAUUUGAAAAGUUGAAAAUCCUAGACUUAUUUUUCCUUGAAAAUUAAAGCUGUCUUUUAAAACUCUUCUGGUGUCUCUAGCUGUACUGGUAAAAUACAGACAUUCAGGAGCUCUG